AAAACCAAAAUAGUAAGUUUAAGACAAAGAAGGUUGUACACGGCAAAUACAACUAUUAUUACACUACAAUGGCGGAGACAUAUUUAAAGUCGCCAUCGCCACCACUGUUUAGAUGUCGGUGGGACUCUCUUCUCAAAAUAUUCCACCGAACCACCAUUUUCUUUGACACUUCACAACUGCCCUCAACUCACUCAUGUUCAGUCGUUUCAAGUAGCAUCUGCAAACAAGGAAGAUUAGAGUUCACUUUUCAGGGCAAAUAUUUUUAAUUAGGGUUUAAAAAUAUUGUAAUUUGGAAAUCAAUCAGACUGUGUGGUGUGUUUCUUGAUCAAUUGGGUGUGUUCACGACAUGGGUUCGUGCUUAGAUUAGCUUAAAUUGGUUCUACACGAAAGAUUUCAGCCAUGGCUUCUUGGAAGAACAGAGGUGGACCAGAGUCGAAUUCAAGAAAUUUGGUGUCGAGAAAAUUGAGUAUUUUUCUUUGCAUCAGUUGCUUCUGUGCUGGAAUGCUGUUCACCGACAGAAUGUGGAAAGAGCCAGAAGCUAAAGGCAUAUCAAGAUCAACCAGAAACGAAGCUGAAAAUCUAAAAUUUUUGGCAGAGGAUUGCAAUACAAAAUCAAAUGAUGUAAGAAGGGGUUCUAAAUACAAUAUUGGGGAAGUUUCAAAAACGCACAACGCUGUCCAAACAUUAGACAAAACAAUUUCAAAGUUGGAGAUGGAAUUAGCAGCAGCAAGAGCAAUGCAAGAUUCCAUAGUUACAGGAUCUCCAAUAUCUGAUGAUUUGACACUCCUUAAUCCCAUCAAAAAACGAAAAUAUUUUAUGGUUAUUGGGAUUAAUACGGCUUUUAGCAGCCGAAAAAGACGAGACUCUGUUCGUGCUACUUGGAUGCCUCAAGGUGAUAAACUCAAAAAGCUCGAGGAAGAAAAGGGUAUUAUUAUGCGAUUUGUGAUAGGUCACAGUGCUACAUCAGGUGGUAUUCUUGAUAGAGCUAUUGAAGCAGAAGAAAAGAAGCAUGGAGAUUUUCUGAGGUUGGAGCAUAUUGAAGGGUACCUUGAAUUAUCUGCAAAAACAAAAAAGUACAUAACUACAGCUGUUGCUCUGUGGGAUGCGGAUUUUUAUGUCAAAGUUGAUGAUGAUGUACAUGUAAAUAUAGGUACACUUGGAGCAACGUUAAGUAGAUAUCAGUCAAAGCCUCGUGUAUAUGUUGGAUGCAUGAAAUCGGGGCCCGUUCUUGCUCAUAAAGGAGUGAGAUAUCAUGAACCCGAGCAUUGGAAAUUUGGUGAAGUAGGAAACAAGUAUUUUCGUCAUGCUACGGGUCAACUAUAUGCAAUCUCUAGAGAUUUAGCUACUUAUAUUUCAAUAAACCAACAUGUACUACACAAAUAUGCGAAUGAGGAUGUCUCGAUUGGAUCAUGGUUUAUUGGACUGGAUGUGGAGCACAUUGAUGAUAGGAGGUUGUGUUGUGGAACACCACCAGAUUGUGAAUGGAAGGCUCAAGCAGGGAAUGUAUGUGUGGCAUCAUUUGAUUGGAGUUGCAGCGGGAUUUGCAGAUCUGCUGAUAGGAUUAAAGAUGUUCACAAGCGAUGUGGGGAAGACGAGUCUGCUCUAUGGAAUGCUUCCUUUUGAGACAAAAAGAAAAAAAAAAAAAAAAAAAAAAAAAGAUUUGUGACAUGAUGUUUAUACAGCUGUAAAGUACUGAGAUAAAGGUUGCAGACAGGGGUUCUGCUCUAUUUUAGCUCAAGAGGAAAGGUGUCCAUGAUCAUAGGCUGGUUAAUAUGUCUCUUUAUGGUAGGGGUCGCAAUUUAUGACACGAUACGACAAAAAUACACGACAAGAAACGAAAUUGGGACGAAACUGAAAUUGAAUUCGUGUUCGCGUCGUGUUCGUGUUAACUGUAAAAAACACGAUGUCAUGUCGUGUUGGUGUUCAAAAUUUGACACGAUUUAGCAGUUCUUUAUCGUGUUUGUCGUGUUUGCCGUGUUAUAUUGAUAAAGUAUUCAUUAAAAUAAA